rnacentral:lncRNA from 10 species
CCGCAGUCCAAGGGCAGGGUUUAUGAGACAAAGGGGGAUUUUAGAGCCGAUGGUCAGGCAUCCCACAGCCCUGCUGUCCUCUUCCCAGGCCCUCCCUGGGUCCGUCCUCUUUGUUCAGGGUUCAAGACCAGAGGCUGCCAACUUUCUAACUGAAGCUCUGGCAGUGGCAGCUGGUCAACAUCCUAAUAGCUCAACAAGCUGGAAAAAAAUGAGAGAGGGGCCACGCAGAAGGCAACAGGACUGAACUCAAUUAACUGUUCACUCAACAACCCCCUGGCAGAGGGUGAGGCGGGAUUUCAGGGGUGCUGGAAAGAGAUUCUGUUUUUUUAAAAUCUGGAUAACACUGGGCUGCCUGAGACCCUCAAAGGGUGGGCUUUCACAGGGAAAAAUCUCUCAAGUCUUCAGACACUUCUUGGGAGCUGGGAACUUCAGAUGAAGCUGGCCAAGGAAGAGGAAAUUCACCACUUCGGAGAACAAUGCAAAUAAUAAUUUAUCAGCACAGAGGAGGCUUCCAUCUUUUCCCUGGCUCACUGACUGCUUGUGUGGCCUCAAGGUGUUGCUCACACAAUUCCAACCUGAAUCCACAGUUCGGAUUCUGGCUGUGAGCUACCAGGUGAAUGAUGCCAGGGAGCCGGCCCAGUCUUGAGCGUCCGCAGCCCCUUUUGCUGGCCGAGGUGUUGAAGUGAAGAUGAAAUGCACUAACGAAAACCAAGAGCUGAGUAGUAACGAUGUGAUAAUAAGUGUCAUGAAUGCAUGGGUUCACGUUGGCAUAUGAAACAAAUAUGGAAGGGCACCUCCCACGUGCCAGUGGAAUCAAGACCUGUGCCAGGUGCCAGGAAGUGCCAGGUGCCAGGAAGAAGCAUUGGAAGUGAGGAGUCUGGCAAGAGAGAACUCACCCUAUGGGAAGAAGGAGUUGGAUACAUUGACAAGGCUCUGGGCAUCACAGGGACAUAGAUGUGCAAAG